GACAGAGGGCUCAAGCGUUGUUCGGAUUCAUUGGGCGUAAAGGGUGCGUAGGCGGCGCGGUAAGUCGGGGGUGAAAUCUCGGAGCUUAACUCCGAAACUGCAUUCGAUACUGCCGUGCUUGAGGACUGGAGAGGAGACUGGAAUUUACGGUGUAGCGGUGAAAUGCGUAGAUAUCGUAAGGAAGACCAGUGGCGAAGGCGGGUCUCUGGGCCGGUACUGACGCUGAGGAGCGAAAGCGUGGGUAGCAAACAGG
rnacentral:rRNA from 1 species